ACUAUAAGCCCAAUCCAGCUAGCCCAACCUCAAAUCCAGCUCAAGUAUGUACUAAACCCGGCCCAUCACCCCAGAUCUUCAUCCUUCUCAUUUUCACAAAAGAAGAACCACAACGUAUCCAAACGAACCCUAAGGCUCCUCCACGCCUCUGCCAGCAAAUCAAGCUCACAAUGAGCUGUCUCCGGCCAAAUAUAGCAAUGGGUCUACACGUCUUCACCCUCCCAGAAGUUGCUCGACCAUUUUGGGCAAAAUUUUUAUUGAAAUUUGUCAAUUUCUCCAUCAAAUUGAAUAUCAAAACGGUAACAAUCCCUCUUUUCCUUUAUCUUUCUUUAUCUUUAUCCUCUCUAUGGAAAAACCAGUACAAAUUGGCAGACGAGACCUUAAUGGUAUUUGUCCUAUUUUUGGACUUCAAAUUUUUCUUCAAUUCAACAGCCAAAGUUCAAAUUUUGAACCAGUCCCACAUCGUUCUUUCUUGUCCAAACCCUAAGUUUUGGGGCUCUAUAAAUAGAACCCUAAUUCCUCAUUCCAGAGUACGUUUUGACACCCUUCAGAAAUCACUCUCUUUUUCUCACCUUUGAUUUCUCUUCAUUGGCUCAAAGUGAAGCGUUCAAAUUGUGAGUGAAAGGAAGCACUGUCGUUCUCGUCGUCCCAGCUGCACUACAACAAGUAUGUAGAUUAAGCAUAACUCCUACUUUGUGUUGUCCUUAAAUGAGUUGAUUGUUAAUCGUUGAACUUAUAUGUGUCUUUGUCCCAUUUGUAUACGGUAAAAAUCGGACACGUGCUAAACCGGUGAGACCCGGAACCGAAGGAAGAAGGGGACAAGAACAUGCAUGAGGACUUUCAUUCUGAACGGGAGGAACGCUUGGACCGGAGCCAAGGAAGGGCAUCAUUUGAUCCGGUUUCCUCAUGGCCGAGUUGGCCGUUGCCGUUGGUCCGUUUGGUCGUAGCCGUUAGUCCGUUCAUUCAUGGCCGUUGGUCUGCGAGAUCCGUUGCACGAUUGCCACGCGUCGAUUACGUCCUGCCAUGCUCAACUGUCAAUCGUACGGGUGUCAGACCGUACGGCCAACCUAAUCCAACCUAAUCCAGAGUUUUUCUUUAUUUUUAGUUUUCUCUUAUUGUAUGGAGCCCAUGAGGUAACACUAUAAAUAAGGGUCAUUGCCCACUUUUAAGGGGUUGGCUCCCUCAUAUCAAGAACUCUUGUAAUAGCAAAAAUUAUAUAAACUCUCUCUCAAAUAUCUGAUUUCGGUCCA